AGGAAGUAUUUUCCUUAUUUCUCAUUGUGAUGAUUUUGAGUGCAUUUGGCUCGAGACUUUGCCCUUGGCGGGGCACUGUUGAUGUGGAAAAAACCAAGCUACCUUUAUUUUUUUUGUC